ensembl:lncRNA
AUGAAUAAAGCCGUAGUUGUGUUUCUUAAAACGGAAUCGUUGGUUAAUAAGGUAAUUGAAAAUGGUCUGUGGGUGAAAGAAAUUUUUAUUACCGUCACUCCGUUUGCACCAGCAACAAAAGUGAUUAUAUCAAACGUCCCUCCGUUCAUUGAAAACGAAGUCAUAGUGAGAGAACUUGUGAGAUUCGGAAAAGUUGUAAGUGAGGUCAAAGCGGUUUCUUUAGGAUGUAAAAAUCUUGCGCUCAAACAUGUAAUAUCUUUUAGGAGAAACGUGUUCAUGUUUCUGAAUUCUCCGGAUAAAUUAUUGGAUGUAUCGUUUAGGGUGAAAGAUGGUGAUAGCUCGUACAUGAUUUUUGCAAGUACGGAGAGUUUACGCUGUUUUGAGUGCCGGGAAUACGGCCACAAAAGAGACUCGUGCCCUCAAAAGAAAAUUUUGGACCAAGCUAGGAUAAGUGAGACGGAAGAAACAUUGGUGUGUAAAGAUGUGGAGGUGAAUCAGAAGACAGGAGAGGAAACAUCAGGCUCGGAAGAGGGUCCUGUGGCUGUGGCUGAGACGAAUAAAGACAAUGGAUUGGAGAUCAUGUGUCCCUUUCAUCAUGACAAUAUCCAGGUCUAUGGGCAUCCCAGGAGUCUCAGGACAUGAGGCAGUGCUAGAGGCCAUUUCUCCCACAGCAGGCUUCACAUUUCUUCAA